GAGCGCGUGGCGGAAUUGGUAUACGCGCACGGCUUAGAACCGUGUCCGAAAGGGUGUGGGUCCGACUCCCACCGCGCUCA
rnacentral:tRNA from 1 species